UACGGAGGGUGCAAGCGUUAUUCGGAAUUACUGGGCGUAAAGCGUGCGCAGGCGGUUUGUUAAGUCCGUUGUGAAAGCCCCGAGCUCAACUUGGGAAUUGCAGUGGAUACUGGCAGGCUGGAGUACGGUAGAGGAAGGUGGAAUUCCCGGUGUAGCAGUGAAAUGCGUAGAUAUCGGGAGGAACACCAGUGGCGAAGGCGGCCUUCUGGACCAGUACUGACGCUCAUGCACGAAAGCGUGGGGAGCAAACAGG
rnacentral:rRNA from 1 species